rnacentral:misc_RNA from 1 species
GAAACUUAUAGGGUCAUACAGAUCGGAAAAUCCUUAAUAGAUUAGCAGAAAAGAGCGGUUCGGACGGAAAAUCAGCAGAAAAUGGAAGAAUCAACGGCGAACCUAGAGAGGUCGGUAGCCGCGCCGAUGAUAUUCAUUAUAGUGUUAGCUUUGCAGUUCCUUUCUCGCUUUAUCGAAAUCAAUAAAAAGAAAGGUUCUACAAGUUCAGAAGAUUUGCAAUUGCGCGCAGAAAUCAAACAGCUUCUAAAGGAGGCAAGUGCCUUGUCACAGCCUUCAACAUUUGCACAAGCUGCAAAACUGAGGAGGUUAGCUACAGCCAAGGAGAAGGAACUUGCAAAAAAUCAAGAAAUUCACAACAAAGAGGCGAAAUUGUCACAUGAUUCAUACACAAAAGGCCUAACUAUUUUUCAGGUCUUGACAUACUUGUUGUUGAUCAUUUGGUUUUGGCGUAUUCCUGUGGCUUCCAUAUCUAAGCAGCUCGUACAGCCUUUUGGGAAGAUGUUGUCUUGGCGAGCUGGAGGCCCUGCCAAUGAAAAUGUUAUGGUGGGGAUUAUUCCGUGGUUGAUACUGUCUACUAGAGUCGGCAAAUCUAUCAGCCGAAGAAUAUUCAAGUAGGAGGAGAAAGUAGAAGUGACAUCAGUGUAUCGGACCAUUUUUUUUAACUAUCCUUUCAUUAUCUAUCUUAUGUUCUUACUAAUUCAUUGAGAUUUGUAAAUUGAAUGUGCUAUACCUCUG